rnacentral:rRNA from 1 species
UACGAAGGGGGCUAGCGUUGUUCGGAAUCACUGGGCGUAGAGGGCGCGUAGGCGGCCGAUCAAGUCGGGGGUGAAAGCCUGUGGCUCAACCACAGAAUUGCCUUCGAUACUGUUUGGCUUGAGACCGGAAGAGGUUAGUGGAACUGCGAGUGUAGAGGUGAAAUUCGUAGAUAUUCGCAAGAACACCAGUGGCGAAGGCGGCUGACUGGUCCGGUUCUGACGCUGAGGCGCGAAAGCGUGGGGAGCAAACAGG